CCUACGGGUGGCAGCAGUGAGGAAUAUUGGUCAAUGGGCGCGAGCCUGAACCAGCCAAGUAGCGUGAAGGAUGACUGCCCUACGGGUUGUAAACUUCUUUUAUAAAGGAAUAAAGUGAGGCACGGGUGCCUUUUUUUAUGUAAUUUAUGAAUAAGGAUCGGCUAACUCAGUGCCAGCAGCCGCGGUAAUACGGAGGAGCCGAGCGUUAUCCGGCGUUAUUGGGUUUAAGGGGAGCGUAGAUGGGUUGUUAAGUCAGUUGUGAAAGUUUGCGGCUCAACCGUAAAAGUGCAAUUGUUACUGGCAGCCUUGAGUACAGUUGAGGUAGGCGGAAUUCGUGGUGUAGCGGUGAAAUGCUUAGAUAUCACGAAGAACUCCGAUUGCGAAGGCAGCCUACUAAACUGCCACUGACAUUGAUGCUCGAAAGUGUGGGUAUCAAACAGGAUUAGAUACCCCGGUAGUC
rnacentral:rRNA from 1 species